UAAGCACUGCAAAGGUGGACUCGCUUCCUCACCAGCUCUGCCCCCCUCCACAGCCCCCCGGGUGCGUGUGUGCGCACCCCUCCCGACAGCCUGACCCCCGAGUCCGUGGCUGACCCCUUUGGGGGGGCCAGGAGGGGACAUGGAGGGCAGGGAGAGACACACGACGACUUGUGCAGGCGCAGCCCCUUUUUCUUUCGCAUCCAGGUGUGCUGCAAUCCGGGCGGGCAAGGUGGCUUCUCCUUAACUCCCUCCUCGCCCGCCGCCGCUGCCGCCAGCACUCCCCGGAGCCUCGCUCCCCUCCCUUCGCUCAGCCUCCUCUGCUCAGCCUCCCCUGCUCAGCCUCCCCUGCUCAGCCUCCCCUGCUCAGCCUCCACCGCUCAGCCUCCGCCGCUCAGCCUCCGCUGCCUCCCGCCGUCCUCCCCCACCCGCCGAGCCGCGCUGCAGCAGCGGGGACGGAGUUGGUGUAGUGGUGCUGAGCGAAGGGGGUGAGAGAUUGGCUAUAAGGAGAAGGCUGACGGCUGCAGCAUGAAGCGCAUUAUUACCUUGUGAUUCCAUGACCCUCCUCUAUGCAUCCCUAACUCUCAAAAGCUGAUUCAGCUUUCAGCUAGUGCUCUGGUGAGUCCUCUGCUGCAACAGAAGCUCCUAACUGGCAUUUUGGGGGUGGCUUAUCUGCAAGGUAGUGUCUCGCUCGUGGUGACCAGCAGAGGAAAAAUCAUUGGAUUCACUAGGUAAGACGCUUUCUUCUUCCUAUGCUUUAAUCUCUACUUACUGAUGGAAGCAAUUGCUUGUCUGUAGCAGAUGAGUUUUCUUGCUCUGGCAGAUAGAGCAGGUCCUUCCUGGUGGUGCUUUGUACAUCAGCAGCCAGACAUUGGAUUCGGGCUUUCUCAAAGCAAAUUGGCUUUUUGUUUCUAAAUUGCAGGGUGGAGGCAAUGGGGAAAUAAUAUUUAUUUAACUUCCCCCAGCAUGUCUUUGUCUAAAAUGAUACACAUGUAUACAUAUGUAUACACACAAAGGAAAUUCCUUCUGCUGAAGCACAUUUUUGCUUUUUUUUAAUUGCUGAAAGUUUGCGGUUCCAGCUGGAACACCCUCUCUGAAGGUGGGCUGGGAGCUGGGUCCCCCCUCUGUGCCAUUUCCGUGACAAAGAGCCCCAAAGAGCAGGGCAGCUGGCCACGCUGCCGGCACUUUCUGCCCGGUGCACAGCCCCCAGCCCCAAAAACCAGAAACCUGCGAGGGCAAAGCUGAGAUCACCAGCAAAUAGCGUGAGCAGGGGAGCAAGGGGGUGUGUGUGUGCAUGUGUGUGUGUGUUCAAACUGUGCCAUAACUCACUCCCGGGAUGUAAAUUGUCCAUCAGCGCUAUUUUCUCCCAUGAACAUAUAAAUGCGCAUAUUGAAACUACCUGCUUGAGAGACAUACUUCUUUAUAUGCCCAUAUGAACCUGGCAAUCUAUGGAAUGUAAAGAAGUAUGUAUUUCAGGUGGGGACCCUUCUCGGAGGAGCGGUGUGUGACCCCGUGUGAAGGGGGGGGAGAAAGACAGACAGAUUUUUUUUUAAUUUAUUUAUUUUUUUAAAUGCCUGACAUGGCAGACUGGCUGGGGAGUCAAUUGAUGAUCUUGUUCCAGUGCGUGUAUUGUUCUGUCACUUUGCCUGUGUCAGCAGGUGGAAAUGCUCAUCAGGACAUUAAAUAUUCAAUAUGCUGACUGCGGCAUGGGCUUUGAAAGGCAAUGCCAGAGGAAGGCUGGCCGUCCACUCCUGGUUUUCAACAGGGAUGCAGGCAGGUCCCUCCUUUUUGCUGCUCCCCCCCAGCCCUUUUUUCCCCCCAGCUAAGGCUAGGUAACAACCCGAGCUGCCUGAUCGUUAAAUCUAGGGGAAAUAAAAGGAGGUGGAGUGGGGGAGAAGAAGAAAGAGAAAAAAGAUACAAGAGUUGUGACUUAGAUGUGCAGUAUUUUGGCUUCACGUGUUUGAAUCUUUCCUGUGUUAAAACUUUUUGUGCUUAAAACUGGAGAGAAGGAAAUCUGUGUCUGUGUGCCAGCAACACACUGCUUGGAAACAGCCCUUGAGUGACUAGGUCACAACUAGAGGCACGGGAGCGCUUUGAACAGAUGCCUGUUAUUUUCCUAGAGGAAAAUAAUAAAAUUAGCUCCUCGGAUUUGGGAAGCUUUUACCGCAUUUUGGUUUUGCUUUUUAACCUUUUGCACCGUGAAAUAUCUGGUUACAUUUCCAGGAUCCCGCAAGAAUGAGGCAAGGUGGUAAAAAUGGGUUUGAUACUCUGGGUGAACAAGUUUAAAUUUCUGUCUGGGUAAGAGGCAAGUAAAGCUUUGAGCCCCAAUCUUCCCCUUUCAGACAAAUUCUUGUCACUUUGGCACCAAACUUCCAAGUCCCACCUGCUCCUGAGCUACCCAAACUUAUCUCCACAACCCCACUGUGCAGACAAGGGCACUGUAAUGUUCUGCUUUUGAGUGAAUUCCCUGCAGUUUCAGCACAUCUCUCUUGGCAAAAGUGCUCCUCGGGCCCUUACCAAGCCUUGAUCCGCCGCUAUUCAUGGCGAGCGCCGCUGUCACUUGUUACACGUGUGCCAAAGGGGAUUUCACUGGAAGCAGGCGCUCAUGAAUAGCAGGUUAGAAAAGGCAGGCUGGGCUCUCAUGGAGAUUUCCUCUGUACAUUAUUCAGUGGGAUUUAAUAAUAGUGGUUUUCUGUUUUUUUAAAUACAAACACCACAGUUGAUGGAUGCGCGCGGAGUGCUCAGCCCCUUCCCGGGAGCAGAGGAUCCGUUCUUUGCUUUGCCAGCGGGCUUUGGGAAGGGACAGUUUGGACAUCAUCCUCUGGGCCCUGGGGACAGUCCCUUAUGUCCCUGGGUCACCUGAGGAUGGGUCCUAGCCACUGUGGACAUCCUGCCCUAUUUUGAGGCCAGAUUUCAGUAAGAAGGGUGUGGAUGCUGGGAAAUGAGCAGAGGCCGGGCACAGAGCGCUGAUGCCCAAGCCUCGCUGCAGUUUCGCUCCCUUGUAAAACAUCACUGGUAGCUUGAGUCACUGGGUGGGAAAUUAGGAUGGUUCUCACCAGUCUGGCCAUGAUACAAAAUUCCCUCCUUUCUCUGAUGACCCUCUACCCCACCUCUUCCCCCUUUCCUUUUUCUCCCUUCUUUCUUUUCCUUCCUUUUUUCCUUUCCAUCCUUUUUUCCGUCUUUUGCUUACUUGUUUUCCCUGUUCUCUUUAUUGCUUGCUUGCUUGCUUUCUGCCUUAUUCUUUUUUCUUUUAUUUCCUUCUUUCCUUGUUCUUUCUCCCAUCCCCUUGUUCUCUAGUCUUGCUUUUCUUCCCUUUCUCCCCCAGUGCAGGUGUCACUAAGCCUCCUCCACCACUGUGCAUUUCUGUAGUGAAGGUGCUCACGGUCUGAUUUACAGCAGAUACCUGCAUUCCUAAUGCAAUUUUUAUCUCCUUCCCACCUCUGAAUUAAUAUGCUUGUUAAUCACACGGAAUUGCUAACUUUAGGAAGUCGCUAAGUGCUCAGAUUUAUUUUUUAUGUAAAUAUUUUCCAAGCCGUAAUUCCGAGUGCUGUCUCACAGCGCGGGAGCACGUGAUGGAGGUUUGGGGGUGCAGGGUGCAUCCUGAGGCCUUGUCCUCUCCCGGGUGAUGUCAAAAAGUAAAUGGGAAUGUAAAAUUAAAUGGGAAUGCCACGGCAGCCCAUUUGCCAAUAGGAUCGGUGGAAGAAAAUGAGGGCUUUGGCCCUUCAGCAAACACUUUGCGCUGUUUCUGCGUUUAGUGGCAGCUCCUUCUCUCUUUUUUUCCCUCUUUGGAUUAAAAAUGGGACUGCUCCUCUGCACUAGGUUCUCUCUGUUUCUCAGCUAUGAUUAAGCCUCUUCUCCUCCGUGCUUCAUACAAGGGGGCUGCGGUGGCGAGGCGAGGCGGGAUGCUCAGCUGUGCCCAACCGCCCUGCACAGCGCGCGCUGAGCAGUGCCGCCCGUGGGAGCAGGAGCGCUGAGGAUUGUAAAAGCCAUAAAUCCAGUGGACCAAAUUAGUUAAAUUUUUCUAUUCUAUGCCUCACAAAACCCAGCCGUUCCCGAGAUGGAUUUUCCUCAUGUAAGCGGAACUAGCGGCAGGUAGAAAAUGGGCAUUUUGCACACGCACAAGGGAGUGUGGGGAUGAAUUCGUGCCGUGCGGUUUUCCCCAGCAUUUUUUUUAUUUUUUAUUUUUUAGUUUUGUGCGUUUCUUUAUGUUGAUGAUCUAUUAUUACUCUUGUUACUAUUACUUAGUAUUGGAAGACAGGUGGUCCAAUAAAUUCCAGCACCCUCUUUUGAAAUAAAAAAAAAGGGGGGGUAUGUUUGCAAUUCAAGUUUAAUAGUGCAUUCAUCAAGAGCAAUAAAGCAUUUUAUUGCACGAGUAUUUCAAGGGAUGUGCUGGCCCUGGUAAAAGCAUUAGUAAAGGGGUGCAUCAGCAAUCUCAUUUAAAACUGUCGACCCAACGUGAAAAAUGUUGCGUUGAAGAAUAAACUGCUAUUAAGCAUGAUUAGAUUGACCUGCAGGACAGAUAUUUUAGCUGCUGCAGCACAAGUCGAUCAAAGUGAGCAUCGCUUAGAUUGCAAAAAAAAAAAAAAAUUUAAUGCCCUAAAUUAAAAAUGAAAGAACCUCGGAAUAUUUAGGACCAGAGAGUGACUUUGGGGGUGAGAUUUGUGUGUUUGAUUCGAAGCGGUUCGGAAAGGUGGGGAAAGGGGAGAACCGUAUUAAUUGCUGCCCCUUUAGCAUACAUUGAAAGUAUGUUACUCGGAUCAACCAAUCAAAAAAGAAAUUGUGCUGACUCAGCACUCGGGCUAGUCUGCACGUCCGAUUGCAGAAGAGAUCAGCACUGCACUGCAGUAUCUUUCCCUGCCUUUGACACCAGCCUAGCUGGGCAGGGCUUCCCUUGUGCUUCCCAGGACUGGGUUAGGCCAAGAAGAAGAGCGGGCCCUGAAGAGAGGAGGAGAGAGUCAAGGUUGCACGAGCCUUGAGCUGCUACGAGGCUUUUUAGUCAGUAAGCGAGAUCUUCCAUGCUGGGUUUGCCCUGCCAGAUGCAAGCGGCAUGCAUUGCUUGGGAAUAUAUCUAUUUUUAAAGAGUUUCACCACAUCUUGCACUUAGCAGUGGCUGUGGGCGAGGGGGUGGUGUGUUCCUCGCAGGAGAAAUAUCCUCGCUCCAGAGCUGGCAUCCCUCCCCUGAAAGCCCGGGGCUGAUUUCAGCACAGCGCUCGCAAUUCCCUCCCAGCGAAGACGCUGGGUUUAGUGCUUGCUGCUGAAGUUGCUCUUGACCUAAGGUGCCUGUGCAGCGCUGCCGCAAGGUGCUUCCCCGCCGGGAUGCAGGGGUCACAGCAGGAGCAGCCUCAUGCUCGUGGGGCUUGCCUGCAGCCCUGCAGCUCCCCUGCCUCCCUUUCCCCCAGGAGAAGCGUGGCUGCUCGCUGGAGAGGUGUUGAAGCCGUUGCUCGCACCACGGGGGUAAGGCUGGAGAAGGCCGCGUCAGGCUGAUGCAGCUGCCCAAGGACGAGCUUGUUCUGGGUGUGUAAUGGCCAAAAUGCAAAGUCCUGUCCAGCCUCCAAGUCACCCUCCUCUGCCUGCCGCCCUGUGAUGCUCCCAAAGCAUUUUUUUUCCCGUGCUGUUUAACCAGCGUCAGCAUGCGUCCCUGCUCCUAGCUUGUAUUUCUUGCACAAAGGUCCGUGCCGAGGAACAGAGGCCAAGUGCGGGUAGCUGUGUGCACAGGUGGAAGGCUGGCGGAGGGCAGACACGUUCUGAACAAGGGGGAACUUAAUAGCUGAAGGUUUAGCAGUUGGAGCAGUUGCUGGUGGUGCUCAGGAGGCCAGCUGGGUGCUGGGUUCAGGGGAAGCAGGGUGAGUGACAACUUGAACAGAUGCAGGCUUUUUCCUCUUUUUUUUUUUUUCCUUUUUUUUUUUUCCCCCUUUCUUCUUUUCAUGAAGCACAGCGCCCUGCCUGUAAAUGCCUCGCCAUGCCCAGAUAUGGCCUGCUCGGGGACGGGCACCUCUAGCUAAAAAAGCCACGGGCAGAGCGACCAGCCCGGGGACGGGGAGCAGCUGGUAUAAAUAAAUAGUGCUCAUUCUCAGCUGCCCUCCUGCCGGCCGGAUUAGGUGGCAUCUGGGCAGCCAGGAGGCGCAGGGCUCGUGACCGCCGACCGCAGAAGUCCCCAAGCAGCUGUAAGGGCAGGAACCACUCCUGCAAAGCCCUUACAUAGGCACGUCGCCCCUGGCAUUUGGGGAGUCGGAUAAAGCUCCCGCAGCAGGAAUCUGGUGACCUAAGAGCGGUCGAGAAUAAAGUUCACCGCAGCAGCCGGGGCAGAGCUUCCAAUCUGGGAAGCGACCCGAGGUUGGAGGCAGGAUCUGGCCUUCUGCUUUUUAACCUGUUGCACGCACGCGAAGCCUGCGGGGACGGCGGAGCUGGAGGCGAGAUGUUGAGCAGAGCUUCCAGUUCCUCUCUCGGACGCAGCGGGUUAAUUUGCUGUCAGAGAGAUUAUUGGAAUCUGAUUUAAUACUUGUGUUUACUUCGGGUCAACAAAUUAAAAAAAAAAAAAAAAAAAAGAAAAACAAGUCUUAAUAAUUUAAGGCACCGGCUUGAUGGGAGCUAAUAGGAAAUAAUGAAUCUCCUGCAGUGGUUUCCCUCCCAGGCUUGCAGGGAGCAUGCAGCUGGUGCACAUCCUGCUCACCUGGCCGCAGCAGAGCCGUGCCUGGGUGCGAGGUCGGCCACACGUGUAGCCAGAGGCUGCAGGAGGCAGCCAGAAAGGAUGGCCUUUUGCUCGAAGGAAGCUCAUUGCCUGGCUUAUUUGAAGUGAAAAGCUGAAGCAGGGAAUGGGGAUGGAUUGGUAGAGUGGGGGAUAUUCCUGUGCAGGUGGCAGCCGGAGGGGAUGUUGUGAAAUAUGUGUAGUGGGGGAUUUGGGUUCUAAAGCUGGGGGUGACUCUGCAAAGUGGGGUCCCGGAUGGGCAGGGGGAUGGAGGCACGGGCAGCCCAUGGAGCAGGCAGGGUGAGAGGGGGGAGCACGGUGCUGAGCAUGGUGCUGUCUGCUUCCAUCGCCGGCACUUGGCACAUGAGCAAAGUCUGUGGCAGCGUACCUCGGGGUCUGUCCCAAAGUGACUGUGGUAUGGGCAGGGGAUGUCUCGAGCCUUUGGGAGAGGUGUGGCAGACGUGGAUAAAGAAAUGGCAUUUCUUUAUCGGCGAAAGGCUUCACCAUUAAUUUAAUACAGGGGCUUUGUCCCCCCCUUCCUCGCUGUGUCAGGGCCGUGAUGCACUGUGCGCUGCACCAGCUUGCGUUCUUUAAAUUAAGCUAGCUUUGUCCUAAAGCCUUGUCUCGGAGAUAAUAAGGCAUACACACAUACGCACCCGCUAAAAUCCAUUGUGCCAUUUUUGCAAGGAACAGCAAAAGUUGCCCGUGUGCCUUCCCCUCUCUGUCCUCCACACUCAUUUGGCCUAUUUGAAGCUGAAUUUAUUCCUGGGAAGGUCCCCAUCAAUUUGCUUUGCUCUUUUGUUGACAAGUUUAUUAAAAACCCGGGCAACUACAUAUUAAACUUUUAUCAGUGUCGAGGAAGAAUAUGUCCUUUGAGCGGCCACAAAAGUUAUGGAUUGGGUCUGAACAUUUCUUGUUCCACCGGCCGGCUGAGUCAGCGUAACAAAUAAAAGCUGCCACCUCUUUUUUUUUUACUCUUUCUUGAGAGACAGUUCUCUUACCGGUGUAAGUAACGGUAGCAAUAAUGCAGGAAGGUUUCAGACCUGGGUAAACGAGCUUUUUUUUCUUUGCUCCCAUCAGUCCUUGUUGCUGAUUUGAAUUAUUAACCUAAAACCAGAAUAAAAUAAGAGCCCGGGGGAUGGUUAUUGCUUCUUAGCUCAGAGCCAACAGUUUGUGUAAAAUAACUGAUACUUUGCAGAUGUUUAUAGGAAAAAAUAGCCCUGGAAAUUAAUAACAUUUGUUGUACCAGGAGCGAUGUGAGUGGCUUUACGCUUCCGUACUCCGCAAGGGCAUGAGGGAUUUGGAGCGCUGGCCCACGGCGAUGCUCGGCUGGGGAUGUGCCUUUGCAUGGGGAGCGGGAUUGUCGCUCUUUUUCUUUAGGCAUAAGAUUAAACCAGGAGAAGGCCACCGUGUUGCAGGAAAGAUGUUAAAAAUAAAGCAUUAGCAUCGCAUAACCUAGUUCCUGUUUUGCCUCGCGACUGAGUUUUUACAAGUUGAAAGAAGCCUGCAAAAUAAUUGGUGAGAAGUGUUUUGAGCUGCCAGAGCAGCAGACAGGCAGGAGAAAAGUGAACUGAGCUACAGUUCUUAACCUCCGUCGGAUAAAUAAAUAAAUAUCUGUCCCCAAACAACAUAUUUCUUGGCCUGUCACCGUGUCCAAGGAUUUUUUAGUUCUUAAACAGGUUUGCUGGCAUAAUUUGUCAAGUACAACAGGGAGGUUUCUGUGUGACAGAGGAUCAUUUUUCACCACGUACGCUGGGGCACCGAAGCAGUCCUGCAGGCUCUGAGCAGCUCCAUAAUUAGAUAACAGUUAACAUACGUGUAUUAGAGGGAUCAUCAUUCAUGCUAUAGGAUACAGCGGGGCCCGCCACCGCCGAUACCGCGCCAUGCCGAAAGCAAGCAGGGAGCGGUCUGGACAAAUACGUCUUACUCCAGGAGUUUAUCUGCAUCACCAUUUGCUCCAAUUAUAACUAAUUGGACACAUAUUGCAUUUUCAUAGCAUCUAAUUUUCUAUUGAUUUUAACGGGACUGCUGGUAUUUUGUACUAUUAAGUGGUAUCUCGUAGCCGUUGCUGUUUAAAAAUGCUGAGUGCACUCCCCUGUAUGGAAUUAUGCAGUCAGCAGAUGUUUUAAAACCUGUUUAAUUGUUCGGUCCAUAAAAUGCACAAACUGUAUUAGGGAACGGCUUUGUUCUCUUUGAGUGUGUGAGUUUGGAAAUCCAAAGUGAAAACUAUUUCUGGCCAUGGUUUCAGGAGGGGCAGCUCCCAGCAGGAUGCUCAGAGCCCUGCUCGGAGCCACGCAGCCUCCGAGGGCUCCUCAGCCCUGGCUUGGGCUUUGCAGCUCUCUCCAGGCAUGGGUGCUCUGCAUUUCUUGGUCUGUGUAAAAAUAAGGACCUUUAUCUACAAGGCCAAAAAUCUGUAUUAAGACAGAGUUGUUCGCAUUGAGAGCCAAGGAUUUGAUAAGGUCACUUUUGGUCUCCUGUACGACUGAGGACUGAGCUGGUAAUUGGUAGGGUUUGGGGCUUUAUUCUCUGCCAGAGAUAUUGCUGUCUGCCUUGGCAAUACAUCCAAAUAAAACCGGACUAUCAAAUUAGCCAUUGCAUUUCAGCAAAUACUCAGUGAAGCAGGAUGAAAGCAAUAGUCCUCUGUUCAGCAUCAUUUAAAGAAGAAAAGAUUUAAACGAGAUAUUCAGUGGAGGAAUGGAGAGGCGGCCUGGAAAAAGCUUUUCCAGCAGUGCACAUUUGAUCGUUACAAGCACGGAGGAGACUUGAACACUUUGGAUAUUGGUAUUAAAGGUAGAUAGGGAAGGUAAAAGGUGAUGGGAUUUGUGUUUCGGGGCAGCUGAUUUGCCCGGGGUGUCUGGGGGCUGCCGUCAGCCUGCUGCCUUCGCCAGCCAUUAGCAGGAACCGCAUCGUGUCUGUGGGAGACAGGUGAGUUCACAGAGGUGUAUAAACUAAAUAGACACUUUAUUAAGUUCAGGUAAUAGUUUUGAAAGACUGAGUGGCUACUGCACUGUCAGCAACUACUUUAGUGCCCAAAGGAACUGAGUGCUUUUUAAUUAAGUCAAAUAAAAUCCAAGCGGAAGACUCCCCAGCCUUGUCUGGAGCAUACUUUUUGGGUUGAAUACCUAUAAUUUUAGAAAUGUUAAUAAAACACAGUCCACUUUUUCCCUGUAAUAAUAUAAAUUAAAUUAAUAUUUGAUGUCUGUAAGAAGAAGGAUAAAAGCAAUGAGGUUGUAUUUUCUGGCUUACAAAUGGCACAGUGUGCAGAAUACAGCAACUAUGGCAUUGAUUUAAACAUCCUUGCAAAGACACCAUGCAAUAAAGUUGAAUCAUCUGCAGUACAGGUACGGCUGUUUGGGGGAAAAAUAGCCAAAUGAGAGAGUAGACAUUUUCCUGUAUUAUCAAAAGCCACUUCAUUUGGGGAAAUUUCCUCAGAUUUAGUAACAUUUGGAUGGAAAUCAAAUAACACAUUAACUUCAGGAAAGGGGAAAAAAAAAACCUUCCAAAGCUAAUUACAAAGGGAAUGUGCACUUCAUUAAGAUAAAGCUGUAGGAAAUCAAUGUUCUGUAUUGUUGUUUUUUCCUUUUGAUUGGAUUUUAGCAUGAUAAAUUGUUAAUGCAUUUGAUCUAAAAAUGAUUUGUUUAUUCAGAUGAAGAGCAACAGUACUUUGUCUCAUUUGGCCUUUUAGCUUGUAAUGAUAAUGGCUUCAAGAGAUGUUCAUUUCUCAAAAGGGUAUCGGACUGGAAUAGGCAGGAGAUUUCUGGACUCAGAAGGAUGGGCCCUAUGCAAGGGUUCCUUGUAGGCUAAUUCUAUUGCAUGUCGAAUCUUCUGCUUCAUUAGGAAUAUCGACAAAUGCUGAUAAAUUCUUUGGCUUUUCUGUGCUGUCUAUAUAAAAUGUCUUUAUUAGAAUAUUGAGGCUAAAGUGGAAAGGUCUUCAAUAUAUCAGGCCCUUUUAUGUUGCCUACUCCUGAUCCCACUUGCCGGGGCAGUGGUUUGCUAAUGCAGGGGUUUUGUCCUUUCUCAGGACUGUAAUCACUGUCAGCAAAGCUGGCACCUUGGCCAAAGCAAAACAGGGGCACUAUGCAGGGGCUGACAGAGACAGAAGAGAGACAAUCAGGUUCAUUUUGUUAUUUUGGCUUGGAUUUGCCUCUGAGGCACGUUCCCAUGUCUCCCCACUGCCGUCCUGCACUGAGCUGGGGCUGUUCCCAGCUGGGGCUGUGCUGGUCCUGCAGGCAGGGCUUGGAGAAGGGUCCUGAUGAGGGUGGCAUCAGCAUCUGGUCCUGGUCCUGGGGACAGAGCAGCCAGAAAAGACCUUUUCAGUGUGAUACCUAAAUCCAAGCAUUGCCAGGCUGGAUGCGGAUGACCUUCAGACAGCAAACCUAAAUUUGGCGGUGCUUGAACUUGGGACAUGGCCUCAGUGGAAAGGGAGACUGACUCCAAAACCCUGCCUGGCUGUGUCAGGGGUGAACACAGCUUUGUGGGAGAGAUGAGCAGCUUCUGCACGGCUCAGACCUUUGAACACCCCCAGCAAAGCCCCUGCAAUUCAUGCUGGCCAUGCCCAGGCUGGUCCGCACGGAGGCUGCAGCCCUCAGCAGCUGAUGGUGUAGGAUGCUCUUCCUCAGUUGCUGGGAAUGCCUCACCACCAGAGACAUCAUUAGUUGUGAUUAAUGGCGUACAGAAGAGAAAAACUAAUUUUCUAAAAAGGAAAACCUCACCCAUAACUCACUGCGGAGAAUUCAAACAAAACAUUACAGAAUGCCCACGUGUGCUCACAGUGAUUAUAGAUGUGUUAUGGGGCACUCACUCCCUGAAGCAAAGCCAGGGGAGUGGGGCAGCACCCAUCUCUGGCAGAAGAUACUCACUCUAACCCCCUCACUGCCCCAAAAAAAUGAUGGGACAGGGACAAAGCAAGGACAUUUGGAGAGCCGAGCAUGCUUCAGGUGUGCAAUGCUGAUGCUUGGGCAGCCCACUAACCCAAAAUCUAUGUGCUGGUCAGGGUUUAGCUUGCAGGCUCAAUGCAGCAUUGGUCAUCAAUGGCACUUCCACCUUCCCCCAAUCACCGGCAAAUAAUUACUUUCCUCUGCCUCCUAUAACUCACCAAAGGACGAAUUUAAUACUUCCAGGUCUUCACUGUCUAAGUUUCCAUUUAGUUCCUUGGCUUGAUUGUCUCCUGAAAAGGUACCUAGAGAUAACUCGACUAAAUUAAUUGUAGAGCUCUUUUAAAAAAGCUGUUCUCUCUCUCUUUCUCUCUGUCUCUCUCUCCAUUUAUUUAUAGGCAGCUUAGAGUAACGGGGCUGGGCAGUUAAGUGAUCCGCAGUACUUACUGCUACAAUGCAAAGCCCACGUUUCUUGGGGAGUAAUAAUGCUGGCCCACUUGCAAUAUUUCUGCUUGCAGUGGUUUGCAGUGCAGGUGCCUUUUCCCAGUGUCAUCUUGCAGUGUGGUGGGCUGUGAGAAAGAGGGGGGAAAAGUCACCUUUGCCUCGUGACGCAUAUAAAUUCUUUAAAUAGGUUAUGCACAUGGCAACAUGCAGUAGCUGUGCGUGGCGCUGGGUGAAGAAGGAAAGGCCUGAAUUUAUUGGCUCCUGCUGCAGAAAUGAUCAGAGCUGCUGCGAUUUUAAAAUGUGAUUUCCCAAGUUGUUUGGAGCAGUGGGGUGCUCAUGCGGCUGGGUUCACAACCAGAGCCAUUGCUUGAGUACCGCAGGCUGAGAUGCAGCAGGGUCACCCCAUUUCCUCCUCCAUCCCAUCCCUUCCUGUUGGUUGCUGCUGGUGGCACAGCCUUUGCUUGUCUCAAGCAGAUCUUAAAGCCACAGAAAACAUUGAUUUUUAAGGGCACAUGAGAAAAUACUAGGGGCUGCAGGGCAAGGAGACUAACCUGAGCCUCUCCACUGUGGUGGCUCUGCCAUAGCAGGGGAUGCUCUGUGCUGGACCUGCUGCUGCUGGCACGUGCCUCUUGAGUCACUCAAACACAGGGCACAGAGGAGGACAGCAGAUGCUAAAGCUCUGAAAGCAGAGAAACGGGAAGUGACAAUUAAAGUACCUGGAUUAAAACAGUAGACUUUACUUACAUCGUGAUGUGGUAGCAAUGCGGCUUCAAAACAGAGCCAAAUACUGGCGUUAAAAAUGCUACAGGCUGGUGGUCACUGCUGCAGGCUAUUCGAGCGCUAUUAAAACUGCCUCUUUAAUUCAGACCGGCUCUUCAUCCAUAGCUGCUAAGAAGCUUACAUAAAUCCUGAUUGCCUGAAAGUGAAGCCAUUUGAACCAGUGCAGCAUCAGGCAGCGAGUUCAGAAGAGGUCCCGGCGGCUGUGAAGGAAAAGACCCCAAGGAGUUCCCCUCUUUGCUUUGCAGACCGUGAGGCCAAAUGCUUUGCUAAAGCUGGUAAAAUGGAACCAAAUCAACUGUUCAAUGGAUUUGGUCCCCUUCAACCAGCUGUAGCUGUGCAUUGAUCUCUCAGACUCACCUCGGAGGUUGGACCGGACCGAGACAAAUCAGGUAGCAGAAGACAGAUGGGCACACGAGUGCUGCCGAUAAGGAGAUGAUGAUGAUGACUGGUAUCUGCAGAUCUAUCACCCGGGCUCUAAACUGGUGGGAUGAGCCUGAGUCAUUAUGUGGUUGCCAGUCAAUCCUGCGUAACGGAGACCUCUCAAGAUUGAUAAUCUCUAUCGUCCUCCUCUAUUGAUCCCCGCUGUGAUUCAGGUCUGUGUAUUUCAACUGCAAACGCUGUGCGUUUUCACGUGUAUUCACUCAUGCCCUCCUGGGAGCACCGUGCCUCGAUGUUUCAUCUACUGCAAUGAAGAAUAAACAUUUUGGUCUGAAGUUCCCUCCUUGUGUUUUGUUCCAUGCGCUGUCCUGCUCAUUUCGUAGGCUCAAGAGAAGAAAUGGGAGUAAUGUGGCUGCCCCAGCAGGGGAUGGGUUGGGAACACCAGCUGCUUCCCAGUUGCCCCAGACCACAACUAUCCACAGCCUGUGCUCUGCUUAGAGGUUCAGGAGAUAACCACUUUAUUCCAGAAAGGGUUUCCAGUAUGAUUUUGUUGGCUUUAUGCUCCUAAAGAACUCUGAGGGUCUGCGUUCUGCUCCUUAUAAACACUAAUGUCAUGCUAAUGGACUUAAAGAAAAUCACUCGCUUUCCCGUGUAAUAAUGAUUGGUGGGAAAGUAAGCUGGGCAUCAUCUUUUCCUAAGUAUUGUAAAUCUAUAGGACUAUCACGAGCUAUGAAUAUUGCUGGUGUAAUGAGCCAUUUGGAUGCAAAAGUCUGAUGAGAGUUGGUUCAUGUCUUUACACCUGGCUUAAGGUAACCCCUGGCGUUAAGGAAAGCAGAGAUUUGUCUCCCUGCACACCUGGGAAAUUUGGGUCACUUCACUCCAGGUCCCUGGUCCUUUAGGUACUGUUUAUAUGUUCUUAUUAGGACCAAGAGUAUUCAAGUGUUUUAAAAUAAGGAGCUAUUGGCUUAAUGUACGUCUAAUAUUUAUGUCACUGGGUGUUAAAGGCAAAGACAUCUCAGAAGCAUCAAGUAAAAGCAUCACGGGAAGCAGCAAGGAGCAUGUGAGCAGCAGCGGCUGAGCAAAUGUCACCCUAAUGCUGUCAAACCCAAGAUCCAUACCCAAGGAAAGAUGGGGAUGAAAGCAUGAGGGAAAAGAAACCCACAGCACAAGUCCCUUGUUGCUGUCAGUCUGGGUUGUGAGUGAUAUCAGGACUCCAGAGGAAGAGGUUGGGUAGAAACAGAUGUUUCCAGCAGGCUGGGGCCUGGGUUUCCACAAUACCACGCUCCUCCCUCCUGCUCCUGCAGCCUGGGUUAUUCUCCCUCGUUCCCCAGGGCUGCAUCCAUUGUAAACAACACUGUUAUUAAAAUUCCUCCUCGGUAAUGAUAAUUAAGUUACUAAAAGUUGUCAAAUGGGGAAGCUGGAGGCACUGCAAUUGGAACAAAACCUCGGAAUGUAAAUGAAAAUGUUUUCUCCUGCAAGAAGCGUGGGUGGAUAAGGGCCCACCUGCUGCAGUGGCUUGGGGUGAUUUGUCUUCCUAACGGGGCUGCCAGGCUCUGGCUGUCGGCACCUACACAGAUCCCAGACACAUGUGUUCCUCUACCGGCAACCCUGAAAGCAUUUGUUGCCCCCCAAAUCCGUUCCCACUGGAAGAGUUCUGGAUAUGUGUGGGCACAGCAGCUCUCACAGGGUCACUUUAUACAGGGACUACACAAUAUUUUAUUAUCCAGUGUGGUUUUCCUACAAUGUUGUCACACUCCUGUGUCUAGACACACAUGGCCACUCUACAAAUCUGGGUGCCAAAACUUCACCUUGGGCCAGAUUUAGGUAUCCCCAGAGCCAUCUGAGCCCUGAAUAGUGGGAAUCAUCCAGCUCUCCUGAAGCCAGAGGAGAGAUGACUAUUGGGGGAUUACAAAAGUCAGGCCGUGUAUUCCUGAGGCUUAAUGUGGGUCCCACCUUCAGGCACCCAUGCUUGAAAAUUUCUGCCAGUAAUUUUAUUGUUUAAUUCUAUCUUUAUGAGAUAGGGAAUUCAAUUCACUUAACAAGGAAUUUCUAUAACAAUACAGACUAUUAUGGUCUAAUCGAGGCAGUGCGAGGCCCAAGCAGAAGGCAGCUGGCAGGCUCUGGGGGAACUCUCCUGGGACUGCUAACAUAUAGGGACAAAUCUAAGAUCUGGGCCAAAAAAAUUGCAGGUAUCCCUCCCAACAGUCUGUCUUUCAGCUCAGCUCACUCCCCAAUCCCUUCUGAUGCUCUGUUUCAGAGCAAAUGGAGCCAGCUCCCUUUCAGCCAGGAGCUGCCCAGGCCGUGGAUCUGCCCACAGACUGAGAAUUGGAUCCUCUUCAAGUUGGUUUCCCAUAAAGCACAGCUCUGAGCCAAAGUUUUACCACUGUCUUUGAAAAACCCCAGGAUCAGGCCCUGGCUUAGUCACCAUAAGCCAUAGCCACUUAGAGGCUGCUCUGAUGGCCCACCAGACCCUGCUGGUUUCCCUGAAAAAAAAGAAACCCUAUUAGCUCCUCAAACAAGGCAAUGCUGAGGACUCUGUCCUUCAAACAUUUUGUGCAAAUAUGAAAUAGCAGUGAAUAAUUAGCAGGAAUAAUCCUUUCUUCUUGACCUCUCCCGUAAUAAAGACCUUUGUCAGCAGAUGCAAAUGUUAUUUUGAGCAGCAAUUCAUAAUCCAGACCUGCUAAACACAUCGGGCUAAAUACACCUGUACUUUAAUAUCCGUAGUGUUUGUACAGGACUUUUAAGUGAGAUAAAACCAGACACCUUAUAUAUCCCACAGAUCUGAGAGCAUUCAACAGUCAAAUUGUAGGAAGAGAAGGUGGCAAAAGAGGCAGGUAAAGAAGGGAAGGAGAAAACUAAGAUAGUAAAAACCAAAGUAUGUAACCAAAUUUAUCUACUAAUUUGGAUUACUCUCCCUAGGGCUCUACACAUGCAUUGUGUGUGUUCUCCAAAAAAACCGUAUAGUCCAAUUAACACCAAGAUGGCUAACAAAAAUCAUAUUUGCUCUUCCCUAAAUCUGUCAUCCCCAUGUUUUUCAUUCCAAGAGAAAAAUGGAAAGGUCUCUUCAGUUUGCUGAGCAGCCAGUGAGCUUUGGACUCUUUCAGCAAGAGGUCCAACCCCUCCUACUCUUCCUCUCUGAUAUCCCAUUUAGCGAUGUCCUCUCUGGAAACUCCCUCAAAUAAGUUAGAGACUGUCCCUCUAUUUUAGGCUUAGACCCACUUUUGCCCUUGAUGAUCUGCAAAUGCAUCUCUGGGUCCAGCAACCAGAUUAGCUGGAUUCUGUCCAUGGAAUUUUACUGUGCACUUCCUUUUCAUUCCAUUUUUUUUUCAUUUUUUUUUUUUUCUUUUUUUUUUUUUUUUCGGAGAAAAAGAAAAAGAAAGGACAAGCAAACCAACAGGUAGAUAAUUGUUCUGUGCUGACAGUUUGUCAAACGAAGGAAGCGCAUUUUUAGUCAAGAUCUACUGUUACUGCAGCACUUGAGCAGAAGUCUCUUCCUUUACUCCCAGAUGGCAUUGACAUAUAGCCUGGAGGGGCUAUCAGGAUACAAAGCUAAAGAUGGUUAAAGACAUUAAAAACUGUACAAUGUGAGCACCAUCUACACCAGGACCAUCAUCCAGGAGGAAGAUUCAUCCUGACAUAUUGUGCAGAAAGCAAAGUGAGCUAAAGGUAUUUUCAAGAUGGACGAAAUUUAUAUAUAUAUACAUUCCUACUCCUAACCAUGCCUUUUCUAGUGGGUCUUUAUUGGCUCUUUAAAAACAAUGGCCAAUAUAUGUAAUGAUCUGCCUUCCUCUUUCUUUCCGGGUGAAUCAUAGCUCCUACAGAGUGUUUAUCACCGAGCGUAAUGGCUGGCUUGAUCCAUUCGUGUCUGACUCCACUUCCCAGCAAGCUAUUGAACGGCUCCUCUUCGUCGCAGGGCCGCCAGCAUUUCCCAGGUCCUGCCAGGGCUCCUGUUAAGCUGUAUAAUAAAUAUUGCACUGAGAACAAGACUGCAACUGUUGACACAGGAUGGAGGGAAUUUGCUUUUCUGCAUUUCUUGAGUUUGGUGCUGCCUAAGUUUCUGUAAUGCACUCGCACAGAGAAUGGACUUAAUAUUCUUGCACUUUUUAAAUAAGAUUCACAGUUUAUACAGUGGGUGCAGCUGGAGGGAAAAAGAACUGCAAAGAGGGGACUUCACCUGCUGGAAAAUAUUCUUUACUUCCCCCAGAAGUGAUGAAAAUGUCAAUACUAUUGACACAAUCACUAAUUAAAACCGACUGCCAUAAUCAUGCAUAUGAUAGCCGUAGGACAUCAGUUUGGAUUAAGUGUAAGCAGCGAGCUGUGCUGCUCAUGGUUUUCAAAAGCGUAAGGGGCUGGGUGAUGGCAUCUUCUGUACAGUCCAGCAGGAGCAGCAGAAGGAUGCUCUCACACAUGGGCUGCUCCUCUGCUGCCCAGCCCCACUGACCUGUGCAACUGCUUGUAUGGUCUGAGCUCUGUGCAACCAUCUUCCCAUGGUGAGGAGCAUGGCCCAGUGAGCCCCUAACCUGCAGGAAGGACAAAAACACGGACAGCCCUGGGGAGAUUCGUCAGUUCCAAAAAAAAAAAAAAAAAAAAAGACAGGAAAAUAAUAUACAAAACAAAACAAAAUAUAACCGUGUCAUUUGUGGCAUAGCCAGCACUUUCCAAGUCUAAGGAUCCUGACCUCCAAACUAUCAUUGUAGAAGUCUAUGAUUUGUAUCCAUCUUCACUUUAAAGCAUAGGAUGAAGUGUAAAGCUGUCAAUAGAAGAGAAAAAAUAUAUAUAAUAAAUAAAUAAAUAGAUAAAUAGAUAAAUAGAUAAAUAGAUAAAUAGAUAAAUAGAUAAAUAAAUAAAUAAAUAAAUAAAUAAAUAAAAGGGAUUUUAAGAAAGCAAGGGAUAGCCAGAAAAUAGCUGUUAACUAACAGCCAGGCAGAGACUUAAACUUCCUAAACCUGGGAGAAAAAAUUAAAUCCGGAUCCAGAGUUUCUGCAUUGUGGCUCAGGUCCAUGGCUGGCAAUCAUAGAGGAUUUGUCUAGUAAAUUCAGCUCAGCCUGACUUUGCAGAUUCCCUGUGGGUAACUGCCCCCUUGAUGCUGGCGGGAGCAGGGCUGCAGAAAUGCCGGUGCUCACGGCUGAAGCCUCACCAUCGAUCUGCCAGCAGCAUCACUGCAGCAUUGCUCAAGGCUGCCCUGGGCUCGUCCAGGGCUCCAGCACCCUUAGGAGGGAGUUGGCAGGUGUCUGGCCCCUGGUUUAGGCAGAAUUGGUCACCAGAGCUUUUCAGCUUGCAGCUGUGGUUGCUUUUUUUUGCUCUUCUGAAUAGGCAGGGGGAGGCUGAAAAUGCCCAGGGGGCUGCUGCUGGCAUGGAUGCUGAUGGAUGCGAUCCCAUCCUUUCCCUAGGACAACUUGGUCUCCUGGAGCUGAGCCUGCUGUGACGACCUGGCGUCAUGCUGGGGAUGUGCCUUUCCCUCUCACCUGAUUUGGGAGUGCCGAAGGCUUCCCAGUAACACAUUUUCUUCAUUUUAAACCUUUGUUAAAUCCAGCAAGCUCUUUGACAUUGGAAACUUUUAUGUGCUGUGUUAGUAGGUUUUCAAGCAUGAACGAAUUGAUUCAUGAGUGGAUAAAUCUGAUGCAUCUUUUAAAUGGAAAACCGACGUAAUUUUCCAUCAGAGAUCUGCUAAUAAAGCACAUUUACUUGGUUAAUCCAUUUUUUCCCCCUCUGUCCUAAGUGCACAACAUAAGGUAUAAAAAUAUCAAAUCAAUAGUCAAGGAGUAUAUACAAAUGAGUGAUCAGAAACCCUGCAUGGGCCACCUUUUGGUUGGCUUCUUGUAGGACUCAGGUUUGUGUUCCUGCUGCCUGAAGCCUGCUCCCAAAAUCGUCCUGAGGCUGCAGUGCUGCAGCUGUCCUUACAAGUCCCAGGGGACAGCGGGUGCAAAGCCACCUGCGCCUGGGUCCUCAUGGCACCAGCACUCCUGCUUUUAGAAGUAACUAUGGUAAAAGGUGUUGUUUUUUUUUUCCCCUUUAUUCAUUUAUUACAAUGAUUAUAUUUAUUAUCGCAGAAGGAGCUGGGUAGCGGGAAUGUGCAUAAAAGACAAAGGCACCUUCCCGUUCAGCCUGCCAGGCAAUCUGCACAAACUCCCCUUCUUACUCUUCUCUUGGAGUACGGCCGUGUUAUUUCAAAGGAAAUGCCUGCACAGCCUUGUCUCUGCAAACACCGCAGCCGUCGUUCGAUCGGCGCAACUCUCUGGUGUGAGCUCAUUUACCACGCGGUUGCUUCGCAGGCUGUGGAGAAUUGCCUCGUACCUAAUAAUUCUGCUAAUUUGCUUAACUUGCCCAGAUUGCAAACUGCCUGGCCCUGAACAAGCAGCUUUCUAAAUGAACCCCUAGACGAUUUCUUGACAAGAGGGGAUAGGAAAGGUGGCUGGUUGGGGAAGCUGAAGCUCACGGCCUUUUUAUUUUUGACCUUUGGGCCAGCAUUCAGAUUUGCUUAUUGGGAAAACUGCACUCAAAGUGUAUUUUCUUCAGGGAUUUGCAAUACCCUUUUGCUUCUAAUUAUUCUCACUUGAUGUCGUCCAUAAAUUAGUUAAAGAUGCUUCUAUUAGGGAGUUCCUGUCCUUUUAAUUAUCUUGCUAAAGCCUCCUUACUGUUGGCACCAGGACUGACAGCCCCAAAAAGCCGUGGGCUGGCAGCUGUGGGCAGCGAAUUUGGGAGCGUACGUGGGUAAUACAAAAGACUGAGCAGUCCGGGAAAGAAAUGAAAACUGCAGCAAAGGUAAAUGUCAGACUAUUUAAAGACAAUGUUGACUAUUGAUUUUUUAGAGGAGACUACCUCUUCAAAGGAUGGCAAGCGUUCCUUCAGAUACAGAGGAGGCAACUUAGACAGAGGGGAGAGAGAGGGCUGUGAGUGAGCAGGGAGGACGGAGAUUUUCCCAGAGAGAAAAAUGAAGCCUUUAUGAAGCCUUUGGGAUUAAAGACGUGGCUUAGUUCUUUCACAAAAAUCCACCCUUCAACCCACUUAAGCACCGUGCCUUUCCCAAGAAACAAAGGGCAGAGAGGUGCUGGGAAGCACUGAUGAGCAAAAAGGAGAUAAGCAGCCGAGCACUUGUUUCACUGCAGGUUCCCAUGUGAAAAAUGAACCUCCAGGCACCCCCAGCGAUUUGUUAAGUGGCAAAGCUCACCCAAGCUCCUGAUUCUGCCUCCAGCAGAGAUGCUCUUUGCUCACCGAAGCAGCUUGGGCUCGGUAAGCACUGUUCACUGCUCCCACCUGCACCUCCUGGCAUGUGGAGCAAGACCAAAACCACUGCAGCUGCUGCUGCAGGCAUCCCAAAGUGCAUGGGACAGCUAGCAAGAAGCAAAAGCAUCGCUUUUUCUGUACCUGCAGCUAGGAACUUGUGGGAAAUUACCAGCAAAUUGGCAAUUUGGGGUCAUCUUUUAGAAUGACAGGAUGGGCUUUACUUUCAUAUGUCCUAAGGGAAAAUCAAGCCUUGAACAAAAGACGUGUUUGUUUUUUUUUAAUUUUAUUUUAUUUUAUUUAAAGGAAAUACAUAUAUAUAUAUAUAUAUAUAAAACACACAUUAUAUGUAUAUUAAAAUCCAGCAAACAAUUUUAUUGGGAAUCUUGAGUGACUGUGGAAAUAACAUUAUCAUCUUAUGUUACACUGGUGUGUCUCUGAGCCCUGGCACAUGCAAACUACCCAGCUCUGUAGUUGAAUUUAAAUGAAAAGCCUAUUACUUGUAAAUAAAGGGGGCUAGGCUGGUGCAGUAGGUUAAAGUGGAAGGCUUGAUCUCUGUUGGAAUUUAAAGAUUGUAAAAUGCCACUUUGAGGCAUUAUGCAGUUGUGCAGAAACACUUCUUCUGCAGUGCAUCUACUCCUGAGAACAGAUCUGGUCCUAAGAGCUAUUACUACGUGUUUUUAAGGUGCAAUCUGUCAUCCUGUAAGCUUCCCCGCAUGAAAAGCUUCAGGAUCAGGUAUUGAAAGGGCAUCUGCAAGAGCUGCAAAUAGCCUUAGGAGUGAUCCUGGAACAGCCCUGCUCACGGCAGCAGCUGCUGGUGGGGCAACACCGACCUUGGUGGGCUUCGAAGGGGGCAUACGAGAGGAUCAGACCCUCGGCACCCUGCCCUUCCCCUCAAAAAGUGGUUUUGAGAGCUUUGAUUUGAAUAUCAUGAUAGGAUAGGACUUAAAAGCCCUUCUGGCAGCCAGCUCAACUUGCAGAAACCCCCAGUUCCUCACAGAUCCCAAACACAGUGCAAUGCGGUAUGACUGCCUGGGGUAACUUUGGGUUUAGAUGUAUUAUUUCAAUAAGGAGGUCUUCAGACAGCGUUAAAUGACAGAUGAUAUAAUUUCUGAAUGUGGUGUUCAUCUGAAUUUUAUUUUCUGAUGUUUUGACUCAUUGACUUGAUGUCUCUCCAUUAUGCACACACCUCUGGAGAUGUUGCUGGCAAUGAUUAUGCGUAGCAUCAAGUUAGUGAAUAAAACCACUCCAGGAACUGCUUUACAGAUCACAGUAUCGUUUUCUCUGUAAUUGUCCCACAAACGGUAGAAGUUAUAUGGAGGGAGCAGUGUUCUCUGACAGACUGCAUAUUUUUGCAGCACGCAUCAGAUCUCACUUUGGCUGCUGAGACUUAUUUCUGAUGGUUCUUGGGGAUUUAACUUUAAGACCAAUGUAUUUUAGUAUCCAUAUACACUCCACUCUUCAUGUCAUCCGGCAGCACCGGAGGAUGAGCUGUCUCCUUAAUAUGGAUGAGACACCAAUUUAUCUAAGUUAUCGCCUCACAAUCUCUCAUUCAUCUCUGCUGUUAAGUGCUGUGUUUCUGACACCCGUACCUAAACUAUCAGCAACUUCUCCUUCAAUUGAAACCAUAAGUAAUUUUUGGCUGGAAGUUCUUGUUAUGUGUAUAAUGGCUUCUUCAUCUCCCAGCUGGAAUUUGAUGAUCAGGUGACUGAAUCAGGCUCUGGACACCUAUUAUUAAACCCACAGCAUCACACUGGCCCACUCAGCAUGGUAAAUCAAAAGUCAGGGCAUCUUUCCACCACCUGAAAAUAUAUGGCCAAAUUAACACGUCCCAGGCUCACUUUGAACAGCACUGCAGCCCUGCGUGACGGCCCAGGCGUCUGGCUGCCAACUCAGCAAAACUUUCCCCCUUCCUGAUGCACUCCCAAACCUGCAAAACUUAGCCCUACUCCUGAUAUUCUCUUUAUAGAAGCUCCCGCUGGUAUUAUGUAUCAAAUAAACCUCUCAUUAUUUAGUUGCUGGUUCCUUCGUGCCGUUGCUCUCAUUAAUCAUCCUGUUCUUCAAGCCCGUGCUACAAGCCGUUGGGACUGCCUCGGUGCACACCCCUCAAUUAGAGGUUGUGUCCCCUGCCCCUCCAGGCUGGUGGUUUCCAUCCCUCCACCCACCUUGGGGAGCUCAUGGGGUCCAGCCCCACAUUUCUGGGGGCCUUUUGGCUGGAGUCCCAGUGCCAAAAGCCAUCUCCCUGACCUGGGAGCACCUGGGGAUGCUCCUGCUGCAAAGGGCCCUGAUUCGUGCCUGUGUUUAGAGAUGCUCCAAGGAGGCAAAAUGAAAAACUCUUUGGUUGUGCCCCAAAUCUGUUCAAUUCAUCCCCAACAUCCCUUCAAAAAUUCUUCCCAACAAUUGAGGAUAGGGAAUCUGCACCCUCUGCCUCCCUCCUGCUUGGCUUCACCUCCAGGAUCCAGCACAGAGGGUGCCUGGGUGAGCCCCAUGCCCUGAACCCUCCUCUGGCAGAACAACCCAGAUCUUUUUUCCCUCCCUUCCUUGCACCAUGAAGCAGCAUUUUUCCCUGCAACACAGGACCUGGGGGGCUUGCCACUAUCUCUAGGUAAUAUUUUUGGGAAGCACAAGUGUCUUACUUAAAGCUCUGGAUCCUAUUUCCCUUUGUGCUGAGGAUGAAAUGCAAAGAGACAGAAGAACAGAGGAGAGCAGACUCCCCUCAGCUGUAAGAAUUCACCAAAUCCAAUGGUUUAUUCAUUUUAAUUACCCUUGGAAUUCAUAUGUAUGCAUAUAUAUAUGUACAUGAAUUCAUAUAAUGACACAUAAUUAAUUUAGAGUUUGGCAUUUCAGAACAGGUAAUUAAAAUAGUUCAUUGUUGAUUAAUCACUUGCAAAAUAAAUUAUUAGCAAUAUCACUGUUAGCAUUAUGUUUAUUACUACAAUUUAGAGAAAUUAAGGCAGUUCACUUACAUUAAAUUAAACAUGAAAGCACAGAUGUAAUGUACCCUAGACAAUAUCUAUUUACUCAGAGAACAAAUGUGAUGUGUGCAUUACAGUACAUUUGCUAGGUCAUACAUCUUGGAUGGCCUCUUCAUGUCACCACCAGAAACCUAAUACCGACACACGGACAAUUCCCGUCUCUUUCCGUAAAUACAAAAAUAGGCUCUGCUGGCCCUCAGCCCCUGCUUGGCACUGCAGCGUGCUCCAGGCAGCUCUGCGGGAUCUGCGGGUGCUGCAGGAUGCUCGGGUCUGCCUGGAGCAGGGAGAGGAGGCAGCCCAGGCAUGGGGAGAAAGCGAGGACAUGAGAGGCUGUGCCAUAUGCAAGCCCACAAAACCCACAAACGGCAAAGAAAAGCAAACUUUCCCAUCCUCAGCAUGCCCCCCAGCCACUCUUAUGAGCCAGAUUAUGGCCAAACUGCACAGAAAUUGAAUAAAUCUCAGCAUGACUCACUGAGGUGCUAAAGGCUUAAGCAGAUCGUUUAAGCAUAAGUUGAAUUUGAUGCUUAACCAUACCAUUUAAGUUGAAUUAUUUUUAAUCAGCUGUGCUCUCUGCUGGGGUGGAGAGAGACUUUGUCCUACGAGGAGAUAAGCAUCCCUUGCUUCUGACAAGUGUUUUGUCUGGAGGCCAUUCCAAGAGGAGUCGAAGGGAGCAAUGGGGAGAAGUCAGUAGAGAUGAAGAGGAUGCAGAGCUCCUCGUGACAUCCUCUUUGGAUCUGUCUCUCCGUGGCUUUAUAGCUAUGGGAAAUAAUCUAUAAUUAGGUGUAUAAAACAGCUCUCUGAUCUCUUUGCUUCUGGCCCAAAAGAGCACAAAAUUGAUAACUCAAUUAUCGCUGCUGGAAAUACAAAUAAAUUAAAGGCACAUGGUAGGAGGAACUCCAGUGGAGGGACACCCAUGCCACACAAAGGCUGCUUUGGAAUUGAGGGAUUGCAAAGCUGCCAGGGGUCAGGAUGGAGGGGACUGGGUGCUUUUCCCCCUCUCACCCCUCCAGUGGGGGCUGCUUGGGUCUGGUGGCCUCUGAGCUAAGGGCAGAUUUGGCAAAAACACCUGGGGACAGCAACAGCACUGUCACAACUGGACCCAGGAGAAAAAAAAACAGGGUGAAAGCUUCCUGAAAGAGGCAACAUCAUCCUGGGAGAGAGCGGCUUCUCGAAAGGGUGCUGAGCUCAGCUUGGUUAUGGGGGUGAGGAAGAGCAGGGCUGGGUUUAAACAGUUCUCCACAGAAGAAAAUAAUGAGUGCCUAAUCCUUUCCCCAGCAAAUUCCCAGGAGUUUUCAUUCUGAAUUUACAACCAGAGCAGUGUAGGAUAUCAGGGGUCUUCUUCAUUUUCUGCCAAGUCAUCUAGCAUUUACACAAAACCCUCUCUCCGCUGAGGUUUGUUUUUAAUGACUCCUGGGCUGAAUUAACAGUCUGUGCCGGUGUGACAAUGACAAUAGUCGCUAAUGACCACUCUGUUUGCCUAAGCCACAUGCUGAGCACUGAUUUCUGUCCCUGCCUCAGAUUCUCUUUACAAAAGGGUUUCUGGCUCUUUCAAAGCAAUUUAAAAUGUGGAGGAUGAACUGGCCUGUCCAUCCCUUUGAUAUUCUGCUGCCUGGAAGUGUCCUGGGGCCUACAGGGAGCAUCUGUAGCAAGGUGUGACCUGGAAUGCUACCAAGAGCAGGAGAAAAGCCUCUGCAUUUCAUAUCCCAUUCGGCUGACCAACUCACUAACCAGGGAAAUUAUAUUUAAACAACCUUUGAUACAAUCCCAACCAGAUCAGAAGGGCAAGUGCAGUUUCAUGGAAAAUUCCAUUUUUAUGCUGCAGCACACUUUGGGAUCCCACGGUGCAGACACGGGGUUUAGUGUAAAGUGGAACACAAAAGCACUCAGCUUCCCCAAAACCUUUGUGCCAUUUCCAAAGCAUCCCCCCAGCUUGUAUUGAACAAGACAUUUGCACCCAUGGCAUGGAGGAGGAAGGGAAACAGUGAGCUUUGUGCAGUGUCAUCGCUUGGUUCAAAUGAUGCAAAGCCCAACCAGGACCACCAGCACCAUGCAGGGGAGGAGGCAUUGACUGGAGAAGGUGCCAGCACUGCUUACAGCACCUACCAUUCCUCCCCUUUGCUCUGGCCAUGCUGCUGGAUCAAAAGAGAUCAGCACAAUAGCAUUCACUUUAUGGCCCUGAUUUUUUUUUAUUUAGGCAGCAGCAUCGCCUGUGAAGAAGCCAGGUGCACGUCAUCCUUCCUCCCUGCCCAUUGCACGGGGCAGACAUUCAAGCAAUUCUAUCCAAAAGCUUUUAGCUCCAGUAACUGAUGAUUUAUAUUUGUGCCAUAAUAGUCAGAUAUAGCAAUAAUAGGAAGGAUUUAAUUGUUUUAAUGAAAGUAGCUUUUUCUGCAUUUGAAUCAAUUUACUAAGUUUGGAUGAGGGAAUAUAAGAAUGGAUUUAGCUGUGCUUUCCGUGUGCCCCUAACAAAAAAGCCCAAGCUAUUUCAAAAAAGUCACUUGACAUACUAAAACUCUUAAUAACUAAUAUCUGCAUAACUAAAGGCAAUAGGAGCAGCCCAACCUGAAGAAAAAGGGUUUUGCAGGAAUUAGUGUCUCGCUGUCACAUUUGUAAAAGGGACAGAUGCAUUUUUCAGAUCUUUGCACAUUAAUGGCUGUAUUUGAUUCAAAAUACAGUCAGUGAACCCUCAGUAAAUGGAAUUAAAUGGUAUGUGUCUGAUUUGAGGGUGACAAUCCACCAAUUGUUUCUUGUUUGAAUUACUACCUGCGUGGCUGGGCACAGCAGUAAUUGAAACUAUAAUGUUUCAUUCCUCUUUAGCUAUAAUUUAUCUGGAAAGUUCAUUCACUGCUGUUCCGUUCUCCCUCCUGAAAUCUCUCCCUUGAUCGUUAUCGUGCUGUCGGGCACUGCAUCCUUCCAGCACACCCAGAGCCAGACCAGUUCAAGCAGAGGGAUGCCCAGCGUUUGGCUGGACCUGCCCCAGGGGAUUCGGUGUAUUCAGUCCCAGGGCUCUGAUUUCCCUUUGGCUGGGAGCUCGGGGGAGCCCAUCCUCACAAGGCACCACAUAUUUCCCAUCAAUACCCCAAAUAUACGAUGGCUUUGGGACCAUCUUAUGGACAGGCCAAUAUUCAGCAGCACCAGGUGCUGAACAUUUUGGGUGGCCAGGACAAUCAGCUGAAUGGAGGAGUACCAGAGGUCGCUCUUUCUGCUGUUUGUGACUUUCUUUUCUACUUUGCCCACUUCUUGAAUACUACACAGAGGUGGGCUGUGGCUGCCACAGUAGGAUCAGUGCUGGGAAUAUGCAAGGGAUAACAAAUAGAUUUCCUCUCUCCCGACGCUACCCAUUUAUGAGCAAUUUCUAGUCUGUUUUCACCCAAUAUUGAUAAACAGAAGAAAAUGGAAUGUAUUUUAUUCACCCAUAAAGUCUGACAUUUCCAAAGAUGGAAUCAAAUUAUCCUCCUCGUGUCUCUGCAGCUAGCUGGGCUGCUGGCUAGAUACGCCUGUGCACUGCAGAGCAAUGACACCGAACUUCUGAGGGUUCAGAAUGAGCCAGUCUGAGACAAGCAGGGACAUUUUCCUUACAAAAAACACAAAUCACAAAAUCCAGAUUUUCUGUCACAGGAUAGCAGCGCUUUGUUCUCCCACCCUGGGACCAGGAAAGCCUCGAACUCUCUGUCAGCAGCAGGGCUUGCUCUUCGCAGAGGUAUUUCUACAGAAGCUUUUGCAUCUUCUUCAGCUGGUACCACGGCUGGUGUUCUGGGGGUGAUUCAAGUGAUGAACUUUGGACUUUGGCCUCUUUUUGGGGGUGAUUCAGAUGGAAAUCCUAUGUGGCUCAUGUUCAGGCUGUCUGGGAAUGUGGCAGUGAUGUGAGAAAUUGCAGGCAGGGGUUUAAGCUCCCCUCUACCUGCAGGCACAGAGGGGUCUGGGUGGAGGCACAAAGAGGGAAUCAUAGGAAAGAGGACUGGGAUUUAAAACAGAUAUAAAGCUGCUGGUUCCCAAAGAGCCCUGAUGAGCCCAGGGAGUGUUCUUGUCAGAUCAGAGCCCUGGGGCUGCUCCCCAGACACAAGACGUGCAGAGAUGCUCACAGCAGGCACUCCUGGCACCGCUUUACCAACCUGCACUUCUGCUGGGGCGUCCUGGCACCUUGACAAGACAUCCGCGCUCGAGACCAGGCUGAGCUAAGAGGAUGGGUGGGGAAUAGAAAUGAGCAAGGACAGACCAGCAUCUAAAUGUGGAAGGAACGUGGCAGCCAUGAAGAGAGCUGGGGAAGUGUGGGGAUGCGGCGAGACGAAGCACAUGGAGGACAGGUGCUGAGAUGGGAACACAUCACCCACAGGCAAUUCUUUCCCUGGGCAAUUUUCUGCAUUUCUGUUCCAGCACUGGAAGGACCCCUGGGCCCUGCAGUGAAGGCAGAGCAGGGGAAGAAACUCUUCUCUCCUCUGCCCUCCCCUGUACCCAAAGGCUCCUGAGUUUCCCCUUCCAAAGCUGAAGAUGUCACAUCCACCAGCCCUGGCGUGGCUCUCAAUGGCCUUGAAUGCAGUAAUUCAUCCAGGUGCUCUGCUUUGAUCCAUGCGCUAUUUAUUUUCUCCACGUAAAUCCUCAGCAACCAAAGCAAUCCCAGCUGCCUCAGGUGGGGAUUUCACCCUCACUGAGACCUCCAGGGUUGGUCUACACCAUUGUCUGUCCCCUCCAUCAAACUGCUGUGUGUACACAUUGUCUGUGAGGGGCUGUGCUUUGGGGCUGGAGUCCCAGCCAUUCUGAUUUAAACCCGACCUUUUGAGGUUUACCUCUAAAAUAUUCUUUUUUUGCUCACCUCAGAGUGAAGGCUGAAUAAUUGGAGCAAGUGGCUGCAUUUCUCAAAAUAAAACCGGGAUUUGUAAGUGCCA